GAGCUCCCGAGUGGAAUUGUGUCGCUUGUUCCUCAUUCUCCGACACUUAUUGUCCCCCAGGGUUCUUUCGGCCCUUUAGAGAGGCUUGGGCACGAGCCGAGUCCCGUAACCCUCCAUUAGACAGACGGGGAAACUGAGGGCGGCAGCCUUGGUUUGCACUCUCAGCCGCUGGGACUGCCAAGAAGUCAGUUGGCCCGAUGAUGAAGAGACCCAGGUCACGUGAGCCGUCGCCGUAACGCGCCGGAGGUCUGGCUUUUGAGGACAGAAAUCUUCAGUGAUCCGGCCUACGCUUCCAGGCUCCUCACAAGACAAGACUUCCGUAAGCUACUCUGCAAUGAACAGGAUUCUUCAAGGUGCUCAGAUCCAGCAGAGCCCUUAAGAACCUGGCAUCUCACCCUAAAAUCCAUUUGCUUAAUAAGGCCCAUCUCCUGACAACUGUGCUUUCUAAGUUAACCGAGGAGCACUGGACAUGAGGCAUCACACACAGCUCCAGCCUCUUCAGGAGGAGUUAGCACCACAGACUUGAAUCUCUCACCGGGAUGCCGGCCACACCCUCCUCACCUGGUAUCUGUCUGAGUGGUGCAGGUCCUCCGUGGCAGAAGAGUGUGGGGAAGCCGUUGGAGAGUCUCCUUCCCUCUUGAUGGAAGCAGACAACAGGAGGGACUGGAAGAAGAAAAGAACACAUGGCCCCAGACCAGGUUGCACAGCCCUGAGCCGGAAGCACACAAUUCUCUCGAAGUCCUCCCAAGCCUGGAAAACCAUGCCAAAUCGCCAGUGACAGCCCAAAGAAAGCAAUUUGGGGAAGAUGGAGCGGUCAUUUAUCCUUCAUCUCUGACUGACCCUUAGGAUGUGACCCGCAUGCGGUGGCCACGCUGUUCAUCCUCCGGCAAGGACCCUAGGAAGCGAGGGGUCUGGUUCCCCAGCUGCUGAUGUGCCAGGGUGUCCUGAUGCACCCGUGGCCCAGGAGCUGGAGGAGAGAAGCGGCCGCAUUAGAAGCCCUGAGAGGCCCCAGCAUUACACCUGGGGCAAGCGGAAUAAAAAAAGGUCACUGGCGCUUUUUAAACAUGGACCAAAAAGCAGUAAAAUGUGUUUUGAAAAAAAAAAAUCCUGGCAUUAAAUCAUGACUUUUUGCCUGGCU
rnacentral:lncRNA from 1 species